GUCCUGGUGCUUGAUGGUCGAGGCCAUCUCCUGGGCCGCCUGGCGGCCAUCGUGGCUAAACAGGUACUGCUGGGUAAGUCGCUGCUCGCGGCCCCUCUGUCAUGGGCCCCCGCUGGAGGUCAGUGAUGAGCAACAUUCACCAUCUUUCGUUUGAGUCUCACGGCCAUGAGAUCAACCCCAUGCACCGCUCUGAGACCUGCCAGCCACUCUUCCCCAGGGUUGGGGACUCCAGGCUCAAGAAGUAAUUAUGUAUUAGGCUAGUUUUUCAUUUUAACAUGAACUUAGCUCUGGCGAGUACUGCGCUGUGUCUGGAGGGUUGACUGCAUAGGCAAUGGUGGGACCCUCAGGCGGCUCGGCCCUGCUAAGCCUUUCCCUCCCUCUAGGCCGGAAGGUGGUGGUCGUACGCUGUGAAGGCAUCAACAUUUCUGGCAAUUUCUACAGAAACAAGUGUAAGUUAGGACCUGGGAGGAACACUGGAGAGGGUCUCCCUGUGGGGUGUUGAGGCUCUGAAAGCAAUUGCAGCCGUGUUGGGAGAGGCUACUUGGGGUUUCUGAGAAGGCCCUUGGAAGUGGGGUUUUGAGGGUGCUGGUAGACUGGGCAGGCCUCACACUCUCCCCUCUCCCUAGUGAAGUACCUGGCUUUCCUCCGCAAGCGGAUGAACACCAACCCUUCCCGAGGCCCCUACCACUUCCGGGCCCCCAGCCGCAUCUUCUGGCGGACCGUGCGAGGUGAGCAGAGCGUGGGGACUGCAGGUGGUGACGGGCAGGCGGCCGGUGAUGAGAACUUCUCCCACUCACAUUCGAGUUUCCCGACCAUGAGAUGACUCCACAUGCACUACCAUCUGAGGCCACCCCAUGGGCCCACCUCAGUGGGGAGGGUGGGCGUCCUUAUGAGGCCCUCUGACUGGGCCUGCUAUCUGUCACCCAACAGGUAUGCUGCCCCACAAAACCAAGCGAGGCCAGGCCGCUCUGGACCGUCUCAAGGUGUUUGACGGCAUCCCACCGCCCUACGACAAGGUGAGCUGUGCCAAACCCCACAGGCAGCGGCCUUACCUGUGGCGUCUGUGAUGUUCCGCAACUACCUACAUUGUUUGAUCCUCAUGAAAGCAGCACUGGCUGAGACGCCAGUCCAGCCGACCUCCUUCCCUGUCUGUCCCUCCCGGGCUCUUAAGCCCCUCUCUUUCUCUAACAGAAAAAGCGGAUGGUGGUUCCUGCUGCCCUCAAGGUCGUGCGUCUGAAGCCUACAAGAAAGGUGAGUCCCAGCUUAUGCUGCACCAUCUACUUGGGAGAUUUCAGGCCUGCUGAGGGACCUGGGGACCCGGAGCCUGGCAGAUGAUGUCCUUAUCUCACGAUGGUCUGCGGAUGUCCCUGCGGGAAUGGCGACAAUGCCAAUGGCUUAGCUGAUGCCAGGAGGCUUGGUUUGCCUAUCUGGGGCGCCUGGCUCACGAGGUUGGCUGGAAGUACCAGGCAGUGACAGCCACCCUGGAGGAGAAGAGGAAAGAGAAAGCCAAGAUCCACUACCGGAAGAAGAAACAGCUCAUGAGGCUACGGAAACAGGCCGAGAAGAACGUGGAGAAGAAAAUUGACAAAUACACAGAGGUCCUCAAGACCCACGGACUCCUGGU
rnacentral:sRNA from 1 species